AGCCAGGGCAGAACUAAGCCUCAUUCCCAGGGGUGUAUUCAGACUUUAGCAAAAUGCCAAGGGGAGGAAUGGGAGUGCUGCAUGUCUGGGUAAAGAACAGUCAGAAGACAAAGGAUGAGAGAUUUCUGUUUCAGAUGGAGAAGGCAGAUACCGUCUACAGCUCGAAGCGCACAAGCAGGGUGAUGACAGCCAUGGUAGCCUCCUGGCCACCACCUCACACCUCCUGUGACCUGGGACAGACAAGAGUGUGAGCAGAUUACUUUCUGGACUUCAGUAAACCCAUCAUUAAAAGGAAAAGCACAGGCUAUGAAUACAUGCUCGAAGCCCUGGGCUCACUUCCCAGCACCACAGAAACAGGGGCAUGGGUUGGCUGUGAACUUGUCAUGUGGCUGAGGGUGGCCUUGAACAACCGAUUCUUCUGCCUCCACCUUCUGCGAGCCAGGCUUACCCCAGGUUCAUCUCUGGCCUUUUGUUCUUUCUCAGAUGUUUCAAAGCCAAUGUUCCAGUUCCUGUGGAAAAGCUGCUGAAGUUUUGUUUCCCUUUCCCUUCCUCUCCCUGUCCCGUUUCCCCUCCUCUCCACCCCCCAACAACAAAACCUGUUAAACAAAACAACAGCACCCACAUUUUAUGAAUUUCCCCACUGAGGUCUUGUAGUUAUUUUCAUAAAGCUGGACAAGGUGUUACACAUGUGAACUCCCAGAACUUGGGAAGGGGAGGGUCACUUUGAAUUUCAGGCCAACUGGAGCCACAUAUAGAGAUCUAUCUUUUAAAAAGAGUGUUUAUUCUUUAGUAAGUUGUACUUUAUUUUUAAAUCUAUUCAUUUCAUGUGGAUGGGUGUUCUGCCUGCACCGUGUGCACACAGUGCCUGAGGAGGCUAGAGAGAGCAUGGGAUCCCUUAGAGCUGGAGUGAGCCCUGGGCUGGACAGCUUCACUUGGGCUGGGAACUGAACCCUGGAUUUCUGGAAGAGCAGGCAGUGCUCUUAACCACUCAUCCAUCUCUCCAGCUCUGUGCUUUUUAAAAAUGAAAAAAAUUUAUUAGGAAUCGAGAUAGAAACUGGGCAGAGUGGCUCAUGCCUUUAAUCCUAAUACUCAGGAGGCAGAGGCAGGCGUAUCUUUGUAAGUUCAAGGCCAGCCUGGUUUACAGACGUUUCAGGAUAGGAGACCAACAACCGAAGGUCACACGUUUAAGGCCAGGGCAAAUUAGUGAGAACCAGUCUCAAAAUAAAGUUAAGAAGACCCGGGGAUGGAUCUGGAAGCCAGUGGUAGGGAGCCUGCCUAGUUAUGCCAGAGAUACUCGGCUAAGUCUCAUUACUUCUGAUGAGUAUACAUCAUAUACAACCCCAAACAAAAUGAACCAGAUGCUUGUUGAAAUGCUAGGGAGCGCCACCAUGCCCGUUCAGCUUAGAUUUUUAAAUUCACAUUAACUCAUGAUUAUGACAUUUUCAAAAGGUAACUGUUUUUCUCAUAAUGAUAAUCUUGCUAAUUUUUGUAAUCUUCUCAGUAGCUUCUAGUUUUCCUUAGUGUUUUUUUAUAAAUGUCAAUAUUUGUGAUUUAAGAAAUUUUAUAAUGUAUACAUGUGUGUAUACAUUGUACAUGAGUCAAUCUAAAAUAAAGAUGGCUUGCUUUGUUAA
ensembl:lincRNA Gm12511 predicted gene 12511